rnacentral:rRNA from 1 species
GACGAACGCUGGCGGCGUGCUUAACACAUGCAAGUCGAACGGAAAGGCCCUGCUUUUGUGGGGUGCUCGAGUGGCGAACGGGUGAGUAACACGUGAGUAACCUGCCCUUGACUUUGGGAUAACUUCAGGAAACUGGGGCUAAUAUCGGAUAGGAGCUCCUGCUGCAUGGUGGGGGUUGGAAAGUUUCGGCGGUUGGGGAUGGACUCGCGGCUUAUCAGCUUGUUGGUGGGGUAGUGGCUUACCAAGGCUUUGACGGGUAGCCGGCCUGAGAGGGUGACCGGGCACAUUGGGCCUGAGGUACGGACCAGACUCCUACGGGAGGCAGCAGGCGGGAAUAUUGCAGAAUGGGCGGAAGCCAGAUGCAGCAACGCCGCGUGCGGGAUGACGGCCUUCGGGUUGUAAACCUCUUUCGCCUGUGACGAAGCGUGAGUGACGGUAAUGGGUAAAGAAGCACCGGCUAACUACGUG